CUUAAUUUAAAAGACAGUAGUUAAACUCUACUAUUAAGGG
rnacentral:tRNA from 1 species